UAUACAUGCAAGUCGUGGGGCAAGCGUUGGUAGCAAUACCGACGCCUAGACCGGCAAACGGGUGAGGAACACGUACACAACCUCCCUCAUAGUGGAGAAUAACCCGGGGAAACCUGGACUAAUACUCCGUAACAUAUUGAAAAGGCAUCUUUUUAAUAUUAUAGCAGCAAUGCGCUAAGAGACGGGUGUGCGCAUGAUUAGGUAGUUGGCGGGGUAACGGCCCACCAAGCCUACGAUCAUUAACUGGUGUGAGAGCACGAUCAGUCACACGGGCACUGAGACACGGGCCCGACUCCUACGGGAGGCAGCAGUAAGGAAUAUUGGUCAAUGGAGGAAACUCUGAACCAGCCAUGCCGCGUGGAGGAUGAAGGUCCUCUGGAUUGUAAACUUCUUUUAUAUGGGACGAAAAAACGGUUUUCUAACCGGACUGACGGUACCAUACGAAUAAGCACCGGCUAACUCCGUGCCAGCAGCCGCGGUAAUACGGAGGGUGCAAGCGUUAUCCGGAUUCACUGGGUUUAGAGGGAGCGCAGGUGGGCUAGUAAGUCAGUGGUGAAAUCUCCGAGCUUAACUCGGAAAUUGCCGUUGAUACUAUUAGUCUUGAAUAUUGUGGAGGUUAGCGGAAUAUGUCAUGUAGCGGUGAAAUGCUUAGAUAUGACAUGGAACACCAAUUGCGAAGGCAGCUGGCUACACAAAUAUUGACACUGAGGCUCGAAAGCGUGGGGAUCAA
rnacentral:rRNA from 1 species